rnacentral:lncRNA from 1 species
AUUAGAUAUGACUGCUGCUAUGAAAAGACACAGUAUAAAUAAGUUGAACUAUCUUGAUGACAAUGCCUGCUGCAUGUGGUAUCUUGGUGUAGUUCUAAAAGUGUUACUCAAUGAGGAAGCUGGUCCAGUCGUCCUUCUGGUGCCCGAUGGUGAGACUGCCCUCCACCAAAGUCCGAUAUCUUAUAAACUAUUAGAAGAAAAAGUCACACAUCAG